CGUCAAUCUCAAAGGAGGCUGCGUGAACUCCUUGGCCCGAAGCUCCGGAGGAGAAAGAGCUCUCUAUUGCCUUUACUGAUGCUCACUGCUGGGAUAUCCCAUGCCGUUAGCUCCAGGUGGUGGCAAUACAGAGCAUCCUGAAAGAAAUGAUGGGUCCAAAUGUUCUCCUUGGACUUCCUUGGCGGUAUGGGAAGAUGCAGAUUGAGAUUCUCCCAAGCACAUAUAAAGGUUGGGCGGAGAAUGUCUUGAAAGCAGCCCUGAGGAGAAGGACUGGGGAGUGUCAGUUAGUGAAACAUUCAACAUGAGCCAGCAGUGUGCGCCUGCAGCCCAGAAGGCCAACCAUAUCCUGGGUUGCAUCAAGAGAAGUGUGACCAGCAGGUCGCGGGAGAUGAUUCUGCCCCUCUACUCUGCUCUCAUGAGAACCCACCAGGAGUACUGCAUCCAGUUCUGGGGCCCCCAGUACAAGAAGGACAUGGAGCCGUUGGAGGAGGUCCAGAGGAGGGCCACAAAGAUGAUUGGAGGGCCACAAAGAUAAUCAGAGGGCUGGAGCACCUCCCUUACGAGGACAGGCUGAGAGAGUUGGGGCUCUUCAGCCUGGAGAAGAGAAGGAUCCAACGAGACCAUAUAGCAGUCUUCCAGUACCUGAAGGGGCCUACAGGAAAGCUGAGGAGGGACUUUUUAUAAGGGCAGGUAGUGAUAGGACAAGGGGAAAUGGCUUUAAACUGGAAGAGAGUAGAUUUAGACUAGAUAUUAGGGAGAAAUUCUUUACUGUAAGAGUGGUGAGACAGUGGAACACGUGGCCCAGUGAGGUUGUGGAUGCCACCUCCCUGAAAGCAUUCAAGGCCAGACUGGAUGGGGCUUUGAGCAACCUGAUCUAGAGGGAGGUGUCCCUGCCUAUAGCAGGGGGUUGGAACUAGGUGAUCUUAAAUGUCGCUUCCAACCCAAAUCAUUCUAUGAUUCUGGAUGUAAACUUUCCCAGUGAGAGGACUUAUGCAGCACAUGUUAUAUGGGGAGGGAGAAGGCUGAGAAAAAAUUGCUCUCCUGUGACUUGUCUACCUCAUGAUGUGAGCAGCAACACUUUGUAACACCCCAAAUUCUGCUGAGGAUGCUGUGUACACUACUCUGCUCAAAAGGUGUAUGCGUUACAGCCCAAGGCAAAAAUAUCCAUGCCUUCCCCAAAGAUCUCAUGGUGCUUCUGCGGACCAGAUGGUUCCAAUUUGAGGCCUACACUCGGGCAGAAGAGGGACUCCUGAAGCCACUGAAGGAAGGAAAUCAUUACAGGGUUCUACAGAAGUAGGUCAUGUGCUACAGCUGCUCAUAGUUUAAGAGGAAGAAACAUGGGACCUCAAACAUGGAACAUGACUCCUUCAAAAUGCUUGAGAGCAACCCAAGAAAAACAUCCUCAGAGGCUUAUUUAAUAAACAUUAUCUAU
ensembl:lncRNA